UACGUAGGUGGCAAGCGUUGUCCGGAAUUAUUGGGCGUAAAGCGCGCGCAGGCGGCCUCUUAAGUCUGAUGUGAAAGCCCCCGGCUCAACCGGGGAGGGCCAUUGGAAACUGGGAGGCUUGAGUAUAGGAGAGAAGAGUGGAACUCCACGUGUAGCGGUGAAAUGCGUAGAGAUGUGGAGGAACACCAGUGGCGAAGGCGACUCUUUGGCCUAUAACUGACGCUGAGGAACGAAAGCCAGGGUAGUAAAAGGG
rnacentral:misc_RNA from 1 species